UGAAUUGACGGGGGCCCGCCCAAGCGGUGGAGCAUGUGGUUUAAUUGGAUGCAACGGGAAGAACCUUACCUGCCCUUGACAUGCACGGAACUUUCCAGAGAUGGAUUGGUGCCUUCGGGAACCGUGACCCAGGUGCUGCAUGGCGGUCGUCAGCUCGUGUCGUGAGAUGUUGGGUUAAUUCCCGCAACGAGCGCAACCCCUGUCCUUAUUUGCCACCAUUAAGUUGGGCACUCUAAGGAGACUGCCGGUGACAAACCGGAGGAAGGUGGGGAUGACGUCAAGUCAUCAUGGCCCUUAUGGCCUGGGCUACACACGUGCUACAAUGGCAAGUACAGAGGGUUGCGAACUCGCGAGGGGGAGCUAAUCCCAUAAAGCCUAUCGUAGUCCGGAUUGGAGUCUGCAACUCGACUCCGUGAAGUCGGAAUCGCUAGUAAUCGCGGAUCAGAAUGCCGCGGUGAAUACGUUCCCGGGCCUUGUACA
rnacentral:rRNA from 1 species